UCUGAUAUGGCAGAUUAGUGCUAAAGAUUUAAGAUCUUUCCAAAAAGGUUCAAAUCCUUUUUUCAGAA
rnacentral:tRNA from 1 species